rnacentral:tRNA from 1 species
GGGGGUGUAGCUCAGCCGGGAGAGCAUCUCGUUCGCAACGAGAAGGUCGGCGGUUCAAUUCCGCUCACCUCCA